rfam:Musa acuminata subsp. malaccensis Doubled-haploid Pahang (DH-Pahang) genomic chromosome, chr3
CAAGGCCUAUGAUGAUCAGCCAAUAUAAUGCCUACAUUGUUUGAUUAUUUUGUGUGAUAAGAAUCUUUUGUUGUUCUGAGGCCUUA